ACGAAAGAGGAAAAGGGAAAAUGGGUUUGUAUCCUUUUUGUUCUUUGUACGAAGACAACCUGAAAGCCGGUGGUUGGGUUUAAUUAUUUUUUCUUUAACAUUAGAAAUUCAGGUCCUAACUAGUGAAAUGGUAAUAUCACAAAAGUCAAGUGAGUAAAUGUUAAGCAGCCAAAGUCUGGUCUCCACUACAAAGCUAGGUCCAUGUAAACUUGGUUUGCAUCAGCCUCGUUAUGCAUGUGUCUACACCAAAAGAAGGUGGAGGAUUUUUAUGUAACUGUUAAACUCUGUUUUGGCAUGCCUAUUAAGCAUCAGUGACUAACAACUGGGAGGAAGGCUUCUUUGUUAAUGAUUCAGCGCCCCCACUCUGUCAAUUUAAUGUGUGAGAGAUGGCAAUGAAAAUCCUCUGAGAUCCUGAGAGGUCCUCCAGCAAAACUAGAGAAGACAGACUUGAUAAGCCUGCUUUUCUCCUACCUGAAGUUCUCCAUGUCCACUGAAGGCACUGCUCCUGCAAACACUUAAACAUGCUUGAGGCAGAGGAGUGGCUUCCUUGAGCACAACCUUGGUGGCCAGAGGGAACUCUGCAGCACCAUGCAGUUUCCUCUAUGUCUGUAAUGGCUACAGAUGAGGAGUUAAGUACAGUCUCACACUGUCACCCUACAUUGCCUCACACAGAGACAAUCUGGAGGCAUUCAGAGUGUGUUUUGAUGAAGCAAGAAAAUUUGCCAAGAUUUGCAGAGGAGGUAGGUAGGUUUGAAAUUAUAGAUUGCAACUUGCUCUAAUUAUUGAUUAGCAUAAUUUAGGGUGAAUUCUCUGUUAGAUAAUAUAACUUGAUCUUCUUUUAUCUCCCCAAGAAGCCAAGAUUCUGAGAAUGAAACUAUUGCUCCAGAUUUAAAAAAUUCUGAGCACCCAGGAGUUCUCACUGAAGUCCAUGGGAGCUACUGUUGGGAUGGUGCCAAUUUGGUGUGGCCAUACUGAAUGAAUGGUGAGAGCAUAACUUGACAUGACUUAAACAUGGCUCAAUGGCUGCAGAGGAUCCUGGGAGCAGGUUCCCUUGAAGCAGACACAAAUUUGAUAAAGAACUGGCAAAAUCUGAGCGUACAAUCGAUUAUUGAACCUAUUGGACCCAUGAAAAAGUAAAUAUCACAUGUAUAAAGUUCCAGCAUAGAGCACAGGUCAACCUAAUUAUAGUGACCUUACAGCAAGGACAUCAUGCAGAGAGCCAGAGUGAAUGAUUGAUGAGUGAGUAAACAUGUGGUGAUCUUCAUUUGGUACCACACCCCCCAGCCCCUUCUAUAACACUAAUUAGUAAAAUUUAGUAACCAUACACCCACUGGGUAUGCUUUUAAGACAUGUGACUCCUUUGAGGAAAGAGAGUAUAAGAAUCAAGCAAAGUAAAUUACUGUUGUUGAGAUUCCUUAAUUGAUGCUUGAAGAAGCAACUUAGCCA
rnacentral:lncRNA from 1 species